rnacentral:tRNA from 1 species
ACACAGUUACUUAGAGGUAAAGAAUCUGCCUGCCAAGCAGGAGACUCGGGUUCAAUCCCUGGGUUGGGUA